GGUGAGAAUUCCUGCCUUGGUGAUGGAGAUGGUCUGCUGCUCCAUAACCUCAUGGAUGGCUGUGCGGUCAGCCUCGGCCAUCUUGUCAAACUCAUCAAUACAGCACACACCCUGGUCAGCCAGCACCAGGGCACCACCCUCUAAAGUCAGUUCUCCACUCACAGAGUCUCUCAACACAGCUGCUGUGAGCCCUACACCAGAGGAGCCACGGCCUGUUGUGUACUGACUUCGGGGUGCCAGACGGUCAAUGUAAGAUAGGAGCUGAGAUUUGGCCACACCAGGGUCUCCCAUAAGGCAGAUGUGGAUGUUUCCUCUGAUCUUCAUGCCUUAAGGAGACUGGUCCACACCACCCACCAGAAGCAGCAGCAGUGCUUUCCUUACAUCUUCAUGUUCAUAGAUCUCCGGAGCAAUAGAAGCAGCCAGCUUCUCAUAGAAAUCCUCCUCUGCAAUCUGCUUCAGCUCCUCUGAGCUCAGCUCUCCGGCCCCAGAGACAUCAUAUUCACUCUUUGUUAUCUUCACAAUCCAGUGGGCUUCCAGGUAAGUUUCUGAGAGUAAGCCCUGUGCCAUCUGUUGGAAUCCUGUGCGCAGGACUGGCAAGAAGAUGCCAGUGACGCUGACAUGGUCACCAGGCUGGGCAAUUCUUGUGUUCUCACCUUCUAGAACCACUGUGAUGCUCCGAGGAAUGUUUCCCACAGGAACUUGGUCACUAUGUUCUUGAAUCUUCAUUUCCUGGAAUUUAACAAAUUUGGAGCCACGAGUCUGUAGAGUCAGCUCGUACUUCCCGGAUCACUCGAGGCUUGCUGCUACUUGGGCUUCAGAAAUACAACUCAAAUCUUCGCAUGAGUUCAGAAGAAUACUGGUUUUGGGGGUUCCGGACUGCCCCAGGGUCUCUGCUUCGCUGCUCCAUCAUCAGCCGGUGUUCAAUGUAAACAUCUAGGACAUCCUUAUUCACCACCUCCUUCUCCUUGUACUCAGGCAAAAGCUCUUGCACAACAUCACCAAACAGUCUUGAGUAGCGCUUGGCAUUCUCGCAAAUUGAGUCGACCAACUCAGGGUCAUCUUCAGCUAUGUCAUCCAGGUCCACAUACAGUGCCACUUGUUCCCGAUAAGCCAGAUGAACCAACUGGGUCCCAUACUUGAACUGCUUCUUUCCAAGCUCAUUCUCGUAAUAAAACUCUUGGAGGAACUUCUUAACUUUUUCUUUUUUGAUCGCGGAGUCCUUAA
rnacentral:lncRNA from 1 species